rnacentral:rRNA from 1 species
UACAGAGGUCUCAAGCGUUGUUCGGAUUCAUUGGGCGUAAAGGGUGCGUAGGCGGCGCGGUAAGUCGGGUGUGAAAUCUUGGAGCUUAACUCCGAAACUGCAUUCGAUACUGCCGUGCUUGAGGACUGGAGAGGAGACUGGAAUUUACGGUGUAGCGGUGAAAUGCGUAGAUAUGGGGAGGAACACCGGUGGCGAAGGCGGCCAUCUGGACGGAUACUGACGCUGAGACGCGAAAGCGUGGGGAGCAAACAGG